GUCUCUGGAGGUGGCUCUCUACAGGUGGUGACUCAGAGUGAUAGGACCUUACCCGAAGGACACACUUUUCUCUUCCCGACACUUCUAUGAAAGAACUCGAGGAGCGGGCUGGUCACCGGGACUGACGGUUCACCCCACCGCGACGAGGUGUCACACUGAGAGAGAGCUCUUCGCCUACGGUGGCUGUAGUCCUGCGAAUCCUAGCAGUAACAUCGUCUCUGUUCCCUUCGGCAUGGAGAAGAGCCGCAAUGGAGACAAUGAAAUAAUCGCACGCCGAAACUUUGAGUUAAACGGUCCAGUUCUGGAGGACAGUUCUGACGAAGCUCCAUAGUACCUGUGAUCCUAACCUCUGGCCUGUUAUGUCUCAUGUGGAACCUUUCUACAUGCAGACGCCAUCAAAAGUCCAAAUACAUUUCCACUCGACGCAAGUGGAUCCGGCCAAAAAAAUUGACCAGAUGCUCAGAAAGAUGGGAUCGGCAGACGUGUGGGUUUCCGGAGGCCUUCUUCUGUGCCGAAAACGUUCAGCGCCUGCCCCUGAUGGACGUCUGCGCGCUGACUGACUGUGGAGCAGGGGAGAAUCUGU
ensembl:lncRNA